rnacentral:rRNA from 1 species
GCAGAGCAUCCUACGGGAGGCAGCAGUGGGGAAUAUUGCACAAUGGGCGCAAGCCUGAUGCAGCCAUGCCGCGUGUAUGAAGAAGGCCUUCGGGUUGUAAAGUACUUUCAGCAGUGAGGAAGGUGGGUAUGUUAAUAGCAUAUUCAUUUGACGUUAGCUGCAGAAGAAGCACCGGCUAACUCCGUGCCAGCAGCCGCGGUAAUACGGAGGGUGCGAGCGUUAAUCGGAAUUACUGGGCGUAAAGCGCAUGCAGGUGGUUUGUUAAGUCAGAUGUGAAAGCCCGGGGCUCAACCUCGGAAUUGCAUUUGAAACUGGACAAACUAGAGUACUGUAGAGGGGGUAGAAUUUCAGGUGUAGCGGUGAAAUGCGUAGAGAUCUGAAGGAAUACCGGUGGCGAAGGCGGCCCCCUGGACAGAUACUGACACUCAGAUGCGAAAGCGUGGGGAGCAAACAGGAUUAGAUACCCUGGUAG